GACGAACGCUGGCGGCGUGCUUAACACAUGCAAGUCGAACGGAAAGGCCCUGCUUUUGUGGGGUGCUCGAGUGGCGAACGGGUGAGUAACACGUGAGUAACCUGCCCUUGACUUUGGGAUAACUUCAGGAAACUGGGGCUAAUACCGGAUAGGAGCUCCUGCUGCAUGGUGGGGGUUGGAAAGUUUCGGCGGUUGGGGAUGGACUCGCGGCUUAUCAGCUUGUUGGUGGGGUAGUGGCUUACCAAGGCUUUGACGGGUAGCCGGCCUGAGAGGGUGACCGGCACAAUUGGACCGGGGAUCCGGCCCGGACCCCUCCGGGGGGCAGAGGGGGGGAUUAUUGCACAAGGGCCGAAGGCCUAAGGCGGAAACGCGGGGUGCGGGAGGACGGCCUUCGGGUUGUAACCCGCUUUCGCCUGUGACGAGGCGUGGGGGCCGGAAUGGGUAAAGGAGGCACCGGCUACUUCGGU
rnacentral:rRNA from 1 species